UUUUUGUAUUGUUUUUUUGCGUGAAUCAUAUUUGGAAACAAAUGUAGUGACUGGUUUCUGUGACGAUAGAAACCCCGAGCCUGGUUGACGAACCAAAGCCAUGUUCACUUCUUCAUUUCGCUGGCACUAUAAAAAAUGCCUAUUCGUCUUUCCCGCCCCAGAUGCAUGUAUGUACGCUUGUGUUUCUUCUGUGCUGAAGUCAGUGGCCUUGCCAAAUCCGUAAAGCUGAGAUCCUGGCACGGGCGCACGGCUGUCAAACAUCUUGAUGUUGGUCGGAGAGAACAUGCACCAUGUUACGCUAGUCAUCGCCACCAGCCGACCACCGUGCAGCGGUGUCACGACGAGGCA
rnacentral:lncRNA from 1 species